rnacentral:lncRNA from 1 species
AUGACUUUCUUUCCAAAGUAUCCGGGUGAGACAGAUGGUCCUGAACCCCAACAUUUAGGUCCAGUGGAACCGGAACUGUAAACUGUCUGUGGUUCAUUGAUGGUACUUGCUGGCAUGACGGAUUUUCAGGAUUACUCGUAUCACCUUUUGUACCUUGUGCAUCAUCAAUUGUACCACGUUUUGAAAGAUAACUCCUUGGGUCAUCAUUAAAACUGUUUUUACCUAUGUGGGGUACGGUUUUGUUACUUUUUAC